rnacentral:rRNA from 1 species
AACGUAGGUCGCAAGCGUUAUCCGGAUUUAUUGGGCGUAAAGCGAGCGCAGGCGGUUUCUUAAGUCUGAUGUGAAAGCCCCCGGCUCAACCGGGGAGGGGCAUUGGAAACUGGGAGUCUUGAGUGCAGAAGAGGAUAGCGGAAUUCCAUGUGUAGCGGUGAAAUGCGUAGAUAUAUGGAGGAACACCAGUGGCGAAGGCGGCUAACUGGUCUGUAACUGACGCUGAGGCUCGAAAGCGUGGGGAGCAAACAGG